rnacentral:rRNA from 1 species
CCGGCGCACGGGUGAGUAACACGUAUGGAACCUGCCCUAUGCAGGGGGAUAAGCGGAAGAAAUUCCGUCUAAUACCGCAUAACACCAUUUGGAGACAUCUCCAGGGGGUCAAAGGAGGCGACUCCGGCAUAGGAUGGCCAUGCGUCGCAUUAGCUAGUCGGCGGGGUAACGGCCCACCGAGGCGACGAUGCGUAGGGGUUCUGAGAGGAAGGUCCCCUACACUGGUACUGAGACACGGACCAGACUCCUACGGGAGGCAGCAG